ACGCUCGACACCUACGGGAGGCAGCAGUGGGGAAUAUUGCACAAUGGGGGAAACCCUGAUGCAGCGACGCCGCGUGAAGGAAGAAGUAUUUCGGUAUGUAAACUUCUAUCAGCAGGGAANAAAAUGACGGUACCUGACUAAGAACGCCCCGGCUAACUACGUGCCAGCAGCCACGGUAAUCUGAGCGGGCUGGCAAGGC
rnacentral:rRNA from 1 species